GGAAGUAACUGACUUGUUGUUAACUUCGAUAAUAUGGAAGUAAUUGACAUGAUGAAGAAUGGAGGACAUACAGCGGGAGCGGCGGCAGCUGUGUUUGAUGAUUGUUAUUUUUUGGUUUGUGAUUUUUCGUUAGUUAGAUUUGAACACUGUAAUAGGAAGGCAAAUAAAGUAGCUCAUGAAGUUGCUAGAGUAGCCAAAUUUUCUGAGACAAGGGACUGGUUUGAGGAACCUAUGAACGAUAUUGUAAAUUUUCUUAUAGACGAUGUAACCAUUAUUACUAAUAAAUAA
rnacentral:rRNA from 1 species